AAAACCUUAACGUUGUUGUUUUUAAAAAUUUAGUGAAUUAGAAACAUCUAAGUAACUAAUAUAUAAAUCAACCGAGAGUCCGUUAGUAGUGGCGAAACGAAUGCGGAUAGCUUAUUAAAAAAUUGAGAAACAACAAUUUAGUAUGCGUUGAAAAACGUGUUUGAAAACAAAACCAGAGAGGGUGAAAGUCCCGUCGCCUGCUCUCUUUUUUUUAAUAAAUAGUAUAACAAGACACGUGAAAUCUUGUUAAAAUAUUUGGGGACCACCCUCAAGGCUAAAAGCUUUUAUAAUCGAUAGUGAACAAGUACUGUAAAGGAAAGGUGAAAAGGAACCGUGGUUCUGAAAUAGCCCUGAAACUUAAUGCUUACAAUCAAUUGGAGCAAUUAUUGUAACAAUGUACCUUUUGCAUAAUGGGCC
rnacentral:rRNA from 1 species